GCCUAAGGCCAGUCUGAUAUGAGCUCAACUCACCACCUGGAAAGCAGAAACGCUUUUUAUGUCUCAAGAAGUUGGCUGAUCCAGAAUCUUUCUGAUUGUGCCUGGAUUAUGUUUGCAGCAGAUUCAGCCUUGUGCAGCAGGCCAAGGAUGGUACAAUUGGUGCUGACUGUUGUGAGUCAAGCCAGAUAUGUUAAAAAUUGA
rnacentral:lncRNA from 1 species